AUUGAACGCUGGCGGAAUGCUUUACACAUGCAAGUCGAACGGCAGCACGGACUUCGGUCUGGUGGCGAGUGGCGAACGGGUGAGUGACAUAUCGGAACGUAUCCAAUAAUGGGGGAUAACUAAUCGAAAGGUUGGCUAAUACCGCAUACGCCCUACGGGGGAAAGCUAGGGACCUUCGGGCCUGGCGUUAAUGGAGCGGCCGAUAUCUGAUUAGCUAGUUGGUGAGGUAAAGGCUCACCAAGGCGACGAUCAGUAGCUGGUCUGAGAGGACGACCAGCCACACUGGAACUGAGACACGGUCCAGACUCCUACGGGAGGCAGCAGUGGGGAAUUUUGGACAAUGGGCGCAAGCCUGAUCCAGCCAUUCCGCGUGAGUGAAGAAGGCCUUCGGGUUGUAAAGCUCUUUCGCAAGGGAAGAAAACUUAGCCACUAACAUUGGCUGAGGUUGACGGUACCUUGAUAAGAAGCACCGGCUAACUACGUGCCAGCCGCCGCCGUAAAAC
rnacentral:rRNA from 1 species